rnacentral:rRNA from 1 species
AUUGAACGCUGGCGGCAUGCUUUACACAUGCAAGUCGAACGGUAACAGCACUUCGGUGGCUGACGAGUGGCGAACGGGUGAGUAAUACAUCGGAACGUGCCUAGUAGUGGGGGAUAACUACUCGAAAGAGUAGCUAAUACCGCAUGAGAUCUAAGGAUGAAAGCAGGGGACCUUCGGGCCUUGCGCUACUAGAGCGGCUGAUGGCAGAUUAGGUAGUUGGUGGGAUAAAAGCUUACCAAGCCGACGAUCUGUAGCUGGUCUGAGAGGACGACCAGCCACACUGGAACUGAGACACGGCCCAGACUCCUACGGGAGGCAGCAGUGGGGAAUUUUGGACAAUGGGCGCAAGCCUGAUCCAGCAAUGCCGCGUGCAGGAUGAAGGCCUUCGGGUUGUAAACUGCUUUUGUACGGAACGAAAAGCCCUCUUCUAAUACAGGAGGGUCAUGACGGUACCGUAAGAAUAAGCACCGGCUAACUACGUG